rfam:Canis lupus familiaris chromosome 1, whole genome shotgun sequence.
CCACAGACUUUUCUCAAAGUCACCCUUAGUUUAUUUAGUUCUUCU